UGAUUGUUCAUUGGUUACCUGGUUGCUU
rnacentral:sRNA from 1 species